UAUGAUGCUUGUGACUGACAAAAUGCACAUUGGAAUUAUUGGAAUCCUACUGGGCAUGUACUUGAAGGUUCAAGCAGACUGUGAGCCGUACAUCAUUCUUAUUCGAGAGGAGGAGAGGUGCCUUCAUGAGUUGCGGCUGCAUAAUGUGUCCAAAACUCCCCAACCAGUCCCACAGGUAUCAAAAUCUGAAACUGCACAUCAGCACAUCACUGGGAACCAGGCCAGUUUGACAGUGGACUAGGUUUCCCUCUAGUGGCAGUAUAGAGUAGGUUACAGCUCAACAUCCUGUAUUAUUGUUGUAGUUAGUUACCCCUUUUGAGUUCAA